GGGCAUAAAAGGGGUGCGUAGGCGGGGCGUAUAAGUCAGUGGUGAAAUCCUGGAGCUUAACUCCAGAACUGCCAUUGAUACUAUAUGUCUUGAAUAUGGUGGAGGUAAGCGGAAUAUGUCAUGUAGCGGUGAAAUGCAUAGAUAUGACAUAGAACACCUAUUGCGAAGGCAGCUUACUACGCCUAUAUUGACGCUGAGGCACGAAAAGCGUGGGGAUCAAAACAGGAUUAGAUACCCUGGUAGUCCACGCCCUAAACGAUGAUUACUCGACGUGUGCGAUAAACGGUACGCGUCUGAGCGAAAGACAUUAAGUAAUCCACCUGGGAAGUACGACCGCAAGGUUGAAACU
rnacentral:rRNA from 1 species